rnacentral:piRNA from 1 species
UAGUUAUAGCAGAGUGGAAUCUUCAAAA